rnacentral:lncRNA from 1 species
UAUACACGAAAUGUUAGUUGUAGGUUGCACUUUGUAAAUACAGCUGUUUCUGACAACACGCCUCUUUUGGGGAGAGAAUAUUCAUAGAAAAUUAAUUUUGUUUACAUACUGGUUCCCAGUUAUGCUCUCUGUGUUCCAUAUCGCAGAGACAGAACUGGGGAAUGUUACCAGUAAAUAAACACGUGCAUAUUGUUUACAUUGAAAUCUGUGGUAACCUUUCAUUCGAGGUAGGGGUAGUUAAGAAAAUUAGUGUAAGUUUCAACUCUGAGAAGUUCGGGGCAUAUAAACGUUGAAAAUAUGCCGCACAGCCCUAUAUUUUGACCUUUGAAAAAAAUUGUGGUGCAAAUGAACUUUCAAUUCUAGGAUAAGAUUUUUUUCAAAACUUCAUAGUAAAAGUGGUACAGUUUUAGCUGUAAAAGGAGUUCCUAUGGGAAAUUGCAUUGUCAAUAUUUACAGAAAUGCAACCUAUAUAGGGUGAAAAAGGGGAACAUUCAG